UACGUAGGAGGCGAGCGUUGUCCGGAAUCACUGGGUGUAAAGCGCGUGUAGGCGGCCUGCCAAGUCUGCUGUGAAAGCGCCUGGCUUAACCGGGCGAGGUCGGUGGAAACUGGCGGGCUGGAGGUCGGUAGAGGGGGGUGGAAUUCCCGGUGUAGUGGUGAAAUGCGUAGAGAUCGGGAGGAACUCCAGUGGCGAAGGCGGCCCCCUGGGCCGUACCUGACGCUGAGACGCGAAAGCGCGGGGAGCGAACGGG
rnacentral:rRNA from 1 species